UUUAACCUUUUGGCAAAGGGAGAAUAGCCGCGACCUUGUUGGAUCACUGACUGUAGAGUCAUUCGUGGAGUGAUUCUUGAUAUUUCUCAGAGACUAAAACGAAUAAUUGCCGAAAAUGUCAACAAACCAACCUGAGAACAAGAGUAGUAAUGUCCCUGCAAACGAAGUGUUCAGACGACAAGCAGAUCAGACCGAUGGUCAGAACCCGAACAAAACCAGCAGUAGCACUCACCAAGGGGGCGGUAUGUCGAGCACGGGAGUCGGCCAACAGAACAGCUGUGGUAGCCAAGGGAACAGCAGUUACCCCAAACCGUAGCCUAUUGGUAACACUGAUGAUAAAUGGAUGCUGCUGGAUGUGAUUUUCCUCGACAGAAGUUGAGACAAAAAUGAAAUUUUCUCUAAUUUUCAUACGUAAAAAGAUGUGCUGAAUACAUCCAGAUGGAUUUAACAUAACACGGACAGGAUCGGAUGAUAGCCAAUUUGAUUUGAAAUUCUCUUUCUAAUUGUAUUGAGUUUUAUCACGGACCUAAAUAUACUGCGGAUACAUGUGAAGUAAGUGCGUGACUUAUUAUUAACUUUUAAGACGUCAAAGUAAUCAACUUUUCUGAAAAUUUAUUCACAGAGGACGUUUUAGACUUGACGUAAAUAACUUUUGUUUUUCUGUUUGUUUUAUGAAUGGGAGCGCUGUCAUUUCAAACGGAAAUCAAUUGGAAGAGUCCACAGAUUGGUCCUUUCUUCACUAAUGCAGCGGCCAGAGAAAACCAUACACCCCCUGGUCAUUUCCAAUUGCGCAAAUACGUUCUGAAUAUGUAUACAAAAAACUUAUAUUCCAAGUUUCAACAAAGUUCCAUGCAUGAGAACUGCACUACAAAUACGGUGUAACGUUUUUGCUUAUUCCCCCAUAUUUCAGUGUUUCCAUACAAUAGACAGCUACUAUUCAAUAGGAGAAAACUGAGAAAAACUUAUCAAUCUGUCUUUCAGCGUUUCCAAAUAUUAUAUAAUCUGCGACGUUCAAUACCUUAAAUGAGGAUCAAAAUGCAACACCACAAUUAUUCCCUACUACAAGUGCUUGUUGUUAAAUUAAUGGGAAAUUUCAGAAAGAGGAUUGAUUUUUUUUGCAUUACUCACAAAGCAAUAAUACGUUAUGCGAUAUAUACCACGUGAUGCGAUCUAUGCCAUGUACUUGGCUGAGAGAAUAUUCAUUAUUUUGCAACCAAAUAUAUAGUUGAGCGCUUGCCAUUUUUCGCAAGACUUGUUCAAGAAGUUAAGAAGAUAAAAAUCAUUUGUGGAUAUCAGAAUAUUUUGUUUAAAAAUGCCGCCCAAAGAGGAUAAAAAAAUGCCGCCCAAAGAGGAUGAAACAAACGGACCUACAAAUGUACCCGGCGAUGAGGUUCCUAAACGGGUAAGGAAAACCUUUAAUAACUAUUACAGCAACAAUAUUGAUCAAUAAGUUUAAUUGAUCAAUUAGUUUAAAAGUCUAAUCCUCGUUCUCUUAUACUUCAUUAAAUGUAGGGUAUAAAACCCCAUGAAGGAUUCCGUUAUAACUUUCUGUUAGCAGUCCAUUUCAAACAAACAUAACAGUGCUUAGGCAGCCAGUCACACAUGUGAAUUCCUAUCCCUGCCCCACAUGAAAUGGCUAUACAUGCUUUGUCAAAUUUCCAUCGCCAAAUUUACCUUAUUAUUCAUUUACAUGUAUUAAAAAAUUCUUCUGAGAGUUUGAGUUUGUGAUCUCCUUCUUGAAGAUAUGGCCAUGCAAAAAAAUAAAAGGCCUAGGGUCGCUAGAUGAUAAAAUGUGUUUUCCUUAUUUGUAUUUUAGUCCAAACCUGAGACCCCAACCGAAAAGCGUUCUUCUCCGCCGACCCGGCAGAAGGGCGGGGGAAAUAAUAUCAGUAGUCAAAAUCGGGAUGAGAUAUUUUUUUGGUCAUGGCAUCUCUGCAUCGAGACCCAAAUUGUUGUUGUACGUUAUACAUCACGAUAUAAAAAGAAUUUCACAUUAAUCACAAAACAAUACUACGUUAUGUGGUAUAUACCACGUAAUGCGAUCUAUAUUACGUAAUUGGCUGAGAGAAUACUCAUUUCGCAACCGAAUAUAGUUGAGGCCCUUACCAUUUUUUGCCAGGCCUUUUAGCGAAGACAAAGAACAUUAAAAAAAAUUUUUUGUGGAUAUUAGAAUAUUUGUUUAAAAAUGCUGCCUAAGGGACAAAACAAAAGUUCGAAUGUACCUGCUAAUGAAGUUGAAAAAUGGGCUAGGAAGACUUUUAAUAACUAUUACAGACAGAUUCCCAUACCAAUUUCAGCAACAUUACUGAACAAUAAGUUUAAUUGUCAUCACAGCAGAGCAUUCAUUAUCUAACUUGACUUUAAUUCCGCGGGGUAUGUUUUUUCUCUAAAUCAUUAUCAAUACAAAUUUUGGACUCCAUCCGCCGAGUGAUAUUAGGUGAAAAUACUUAGUAGGCCCUGUGCUCACCUGUAAACUAUUGCAAGUCACCGAAAUUAUGAAACAUGGACAAGAGUAUGCAGUCGUCUUUUUGCAUGCUAUACUCGAAGCGAUUUAAAAAAAAUUAUUUCCAAAUAUUCAUACCAGUAUGAAAACAAUAACACCAUUUUGUACAUUUCAGUCCAACAGCAGUGGUAACGAGAAAGGUGUCUGGGAAAAAGUUAGGGAUUUGUUUACAGGUAAAUAACUGCAGAAACCGUGGCGACCGUGGAGCGGGCAGAUAGGCAUCAUUAUUUCUGACUUAAAGGACUUCAUCGAGAUUGAUGUCACUCGUGGAGGACAAAUAGAAAUUCGCUGCUGGGAGAGGAAGUAAUUCUAACGUUCUGGUGAUGGUGGAUGCUAUCAUGUUUUCCUGGGACAAAUGACAACAAAAGUAGCAGGGGGGGGGUGAUUUUUUUUGAAAUGGUAUAACAUUUACACAAAAUGAAACCGGCUACGGAAAUGCUAUUGAACGAAUUCUGCUUCAACUUUUCAACAUGAACCUAUAAUGAAACGGAUGGGAUUACAUUGGAUGACAUUGUGGGUUAAAAGUCUUCAUUCACCACUCUCUCAGCAUCGUUUAAGUAAGAGCAACUGAUCUGGUAGUUGUUUUUGCACAAACAGUAAAAUUAGUAAAAACAGUAGUGAAACUAAACCCCAAUUUCUUGUUGUAAUUUUUAAAAAGCAGUAAAAAAUAACCAUCAAAAUGGUUUAGAAUCACAAUUUCGAUAGUUAAACAAAAAAAGUACAUGUACAAUCGGUGCAAUAGGAAUUACACAAUAGUAAAAUAUGCGGUUAUAUUAUCCAUGCAAAUUUGUUGAAACUUGGAAUUUUCAGUUUUUGUAUAUCUGUCUACACAACAGGACGAUUGAAAAAAUAUUUUGUACGAAUUUUGAAGAUUGGAUAUUUUUCAAAUUCAAUCAAAAAUUUCAAAUUUUAAUGAACGGCUAAGACUUUUAUCAUUCGAAGGUUCUUUCCCUCAGAAAUGUUAUUCUCACCAACAUUGCUGAAACUUAAAGUCAUUCAUUUUUCUCUGUAGUAGCUUAACAUUCAUUAAACAGGUCAUUGCACAAAAUGUCUUUUUUGUCUCUUUAUUGGUUUUGUCACUUCAUAAUGUCGCUUGUUUUGACAUAGCCGGCGUUCUGGUAAGUACAACAUUUUCGACAUUUUGUUCUGCAGGGGUUCUGCCUGCUACAUGUAUGUCUGAGAAAUACAUAUUAUAGAUUUUAUCUUAUCUUGUGACCUCACCCUUCUAGGUAUGAGAGAAGACCUAGGUGUGGUCUCCCAACUAGAUAUAGAAGUUUAAAGUGAUACUAAACUCGAUUCGAAACUCAAGUGUGUAAUCUAUUUUGGAUCUGAUAGUGGGUAAGAUAGUUGAACUCGGAUGCUUCCCUGCAGUGAUUUAUUAUGCAAAUUAGUCACUGAAAAAAUCACAUCCUGCAUGCACAACUUCAACAUGUCACCUAUCAUCUCUGAAUAGAAUAGAAUAAGUUUUAUUGCUCAACAAAAUUUCAUUGCGUAGAGCACAAAACUACCUAUAUAAAAUAGAAAUACGAAUAUACAUGCGAAGGUUUUUUAACAUCAACAAAGAAUACGAAUUUGCUUACAAUAUGAUUAGAGUAGUUGGAGAGACUUUGACAAAAAUUUAGUUAGUUUUAUUAAUGUAUUCUUUGGCGAGUUCAAAAGUUUUACAUAUUUAAAUAAAUCGGGAUAUCUGUGAAAGUCGGCUGGAAUGUAAUUUACUCGAAUGUUUGAAAAGAAGGGGCAUACGAGGGCGAGGUGAAAUUCAUCUCCAACUACUCCGAGGUUACAUUUAUUACAUGUACGUUCUAGUCGGGGGGGGGGAGGGGUAUUAUUAUACCGGGCUAAUUCUAUAGGGAGUUUAUGGUUGGUACAUCUAAAUUUACAGAGUAAUAUACGUUGGGCUUGAGAUAGACAAAGCAAAUAAUUCUCAAACCCCAUGCAAACUUGAUUUCUCUGUAGAUCAAACAUUUUGGAGAGUUUAUCAGAGUAUUGCGCCAUUCUUGGAGAUACUGGUCCUGCAGUCGUCUUCUGACAAUUUCACCGAGAUAAUUAACGUUGAGGAACAUCUGUGUCAGCCAGAUGUCCCCGAGCCCACAAAGUUCCAAAAUAUUUUUGACAAACGCGACCCAUUUGAUAUUUUGACCGUUUUGGUGUCUAUGGUAUGCAAUUUUAUACAUUUUUCCGGCUAUAGUUUGUUCCUGUAGAAAAUGUCAGUUCUCUUCACCAAGCGCUAGCGGUUACAAUGCGUUGUCCGAAAAUGAUUUUUUGUCAUUUAAUGAUUACCUAAUAGAGCUCAUAAUCUCAUGAACAAAGCGAAACAUUUACACUUGGCAGAGUGACAUUGCAAUGAAACGAGGCUAGACAAAUAUAGAUAUAUUUUUUCGGUUCAGAUGAUAAGGCACAAAACAAAAGUUCGAAUGUAUCUGCUAAUGAAGUUGAAAAAUGGGUAAGGACGACUUUGAAUAACUAUUACAGACAGAUUCCCAUACCAAUUUCAGCAAUUUCACAAUUUCGAUAGUUAAACAAAAAGGUACAGUCGGUGCAAUAGGAAUUACCACAAUAGUAAAAUAUUUUUUUUGAUAGUUAUUUACACUAAUUAAUUUCAAGAAUGUGCAUUUGCUUGACAUUUGGACUACAACCUGCUGUUCGAAUCAUUCAAAUGAAACGCCCACCACCACAAUGUAGAGUGUGCGCAACUGUUCAUCAUGGUGCAGGUGUUACCAUGGCUUCGGUUAAAAUGACCAAUGGUGCCGCAACAACUCGAGAUAGGUUGUCUUGGAGAGCUUGACAACGCCAUUGAUCACGACGAUCUGACUGCUGAAACUUGGAUUCAUAUUAUCUCGUUGAGAUAGAACACAGUCCCUCAUCGGUCAAUUUGAAUAAUUGAAAAAUGCCUCGCAAAGGAGAGAAUAAAAGCACGGAAGUUACUGGGAAUGAGGUGGAACGUAGAACUGAGCAGUCGCUUAAUGGGCCUCCUCCUCCAAGGCCUCACCAGGAAGGUGCAAUAAGACUCAGCGAUACUCCAACGAGGCACAGUGGAGGGUGUGAGUGCUGCUGAACUGCAGCUAACAAAAAUGCAAUGACUUGAUCACAUAUUCCUAACAAGUCCGAUAGAUAUAUAUCACGAAUGUCUGAGACAUCUUCAUCCGAACGAUAUCUUACUCCAACGGAACAUAAUAUCAUCUUAACAUUACAACAUGAACGUUGAUUGUUUGUUUCCUCACUUGAGUCAAUCAUCACAAAGAUAAUUCAAAGGAGCACUGUCAUACAUGUGUUACGAUUUUAAAUAACCUUUAAAGGGGUACACCGUUCGUAAAACUGGUGGAUCAGGGAAAUAGAAAUGCAGUUAUGCACAAUGCCGUAGUGCGGUUAUAUUAUCCAUGCAAAUUUGCUGAAACUUGGAAUUUUUAGUUUUUAUAUAUCUGUCUACACAACAGGACGAUUGAAAAUAUAUUUUGUACGAAUUUUGAAGAUUGGAUAUUUUUCAAAUUCAAUCAAAAAUUUCAAAUUUUAACGAACGGCUGAGACUUUUAUCAUUCGAAAGUUCUUUCCCUCAGAAAUGUUAUUCUCACCAACAUUGCUGAAACUUAAAGUCAUUCAUUCAACUCUGUAGUAGCCUACUGUAAUUAACAUUCAUUAAACAGGUCAUUGCACAAAA